rnacentral:rRNA from 1 species
UGGUGGAAGCGGCACAUCGGCGUAUUGGCCUUGCGCAUGUCAGAGUUGAAUGCUGGCUCCUUCGGGGUCCGCAUUGAAAUUUGCAUAGGAAGCUCCCGGAACGGCCCCCUACUGUGGGCCCUGGAGGGGGCCGUGGUACAGGGGGACAUCUUGCCCGGGUAAGGGGUGGUAACGUGUUCGUUCAGGACUAUCUCAUUUUUGCGUUGUUUGUGAAGGCAGAUCUCUGACGAUGCUAAUGACUGGUUCCGUCUUGAAACACGGACCAGACCGAUAGCGCACAAGUAGAGUGAUCGAAAGAUGAAAAGCACUUUGAAAAGAGAGUUAAACAGCACGUGAAAUUGUUGAAAGGGAAGCGCUUGCGACCAGACUCGCCUGUAGGGUUCAGCCGGCAUUCGUGCCGGUGUACUUCCCUGCGGGCGGGCCAGCGUCGGUUUGGGCGGCCGGUCAAAGGCCCUCAAAAUGUAACGCCCCCCGGGGCGUCUUAUACCCGAGGAUGCCAUGCUCCCAUUUGAGGAUCUUGCAACUCGCUUCGCCUCGGACGCUGGCAUCCCGGGUCGGUUUCUUUUCCUCUUGAAACAGAUACCAGGGG